ensembl:snRNA U6 U6 spliceosomal RNA
AUGCUCGCUUCCUCAGCACAUCUACUAAAAUUGGAAUAAUAGAAGAUUAGCUUGGUCCCUGUGCAAGGAUGACAUGCAGAUUCGUGAAGUGUUCCAUAUUUUC